rnacentral:lncRNA from 1 species
AGUUUGAUGGUUAUUAACUGAUAAAUUUAACUGAAUUUGACCAGUUGAAACCUGUAUAAAUCAUGUUAUUUAAAAAUAAAGUCAAGUAUAGGACAUUAUGCUUAGUUAAAAUGUUUUAUUGCUCUGAAGCAUCUGCUAAGCCUGUUACACAGAUUCUUCUGUUCUUAUUUGAAAGUACUGGGGAAUACAAUGACUGGUAGGCUUUAUAGCAUCCCAGUAAUUGUCUGGCAAUUGGACCACACUUUAUAGCAAAAUCAAUCAAUGUUAGCUAUGGAUCACCAAUUUUUAUCUUGUUUGUCUGUCUUUUCUGUAGAUUCCGUUUAGGUUUUUCGUUUUCCUUCUCCUGGGCUAGUGACUAUGGCAGGCUACAUGCGAACACCCCCUGUGAAUUAAAAAAGCAAACAAACACUUUGACUUAAUGAUCACUACAUCACCCCCA